rnacentral:tRNA from 1 species
AGGGUUAUAGCUCAGUGGUAGAGCACGUGCUUAGCAUGCACGAGGUCCUGGGUUCAACCCCCAGGACCUCCC